rnacentral:rRNA from 1 species
UUUGGUUAAGUUAGAAAGGGCGCACGGUGGAUGCCUUGACACUAGGAGUCGAUGAAGGACGGGACUAACGCCGAUAUGCUUCGGGGAGCUGUAAGUAAGCUUUGAUCCGAAGAUUUCCGAAUGGGGAAACCCACCAUACGUAAUGGUAUGGUAUCCUUACCUGAAUACAUAGGGUAAGGAAGACAGACCCAGGGAACUGAAACAUCUAAGUACCUGGAGGAAGAGAAAGCAAAUGCGAUUUCCUGAGUAGCGGCGAGCGAAACGGAACAUAGCCCAAACCAAGAGGCUUGCCUCUUGGGGUUGUAGGACAUUCUAUACGGAGUUACAAAGGAACGAGGUAGACGAAGCGACCUGGAAAGGUCCGUCGUAGAGGGUAACAACCCCGUAGUCGAAACUUCGUUCUCUCUUGAAUGUAUCCUGAGUACGGCGGAACACGUGAAAUUCCGUCGGAAUCUGGGAGGACCAUCUCCCAAGGCUAAAUACUCCCUAGUGAUCGAUAGUGAACCAGUACCGUGAGGGAAAGGUGAAAAGCACCCCGGAAGGGGAGUGAAAGAGAUCCUGAAACCGUGUGCCUACAAAUAGUCAGAGCCCGUUAACGGGUGAUGGCGUGCCUUUUGUAGAAUGAACCGGCGAGUUACGAUCCCGUGCGAGGUUAAGCUGAAGAGGCGGAGCCGCAGCGAAAGCGAGUCUGAAUAGGGCGUUUAGUACGUGGUCGUAGACCCGAAACCAGGUGAUCUACCCAUGUCCAGGGUGAAGUUCAGGUAACACUGAAUGGAGGCCCGAACCCACGCACGUUGAAAAGUGCGGGGAUGAGGUGUGGGUAGCGGAGAAAUUCCAAUCGAACCUGGAGAUAGCUGGUUCUCCCCGAAAUAGCUUUAGGGCUAGCCUUAAGUGUAAGAGUCUUGGAGGUAGAGCACUGAUUGGACUAGGGGUCCUCAUCGGAUUACCGAAUUCAGUCAAACUCCGAAUGCCAAUGACUUAUCCUUAGGAGUCAGACUGCGAGUGAUAAGAUCCGUAGUCAAAAGGGAAACAGCCCAGACCGCCAGCUAAGGUCCCAAAGUGUGUAUUAAGUGGAAAAGGAUGUGGAGUUGCUUAGACAACUAGGAUGUUGGCUUAGAAGCAGCCACCAUUUAAAGAGUGCGUAAUAGCUCACUAGUCGAGUGACUCUGCGCCGAAAAUGUACCGGGGCUAAAUACACCACCGAAGCUGCGGAUUGAUACCGAAUGGUAUCAGUGGUAGGGGAGCGUUCUAAGGACAGUGAAGUCAGACCGGAAGGACUGGUGGAGUGCUUAGAAGUGAGAAUGCCGGUAUGAGUAGCGAAAGACGGGUGAGAAUCCCGUCCACCGAAUGCCUAAGGUUUCCUGAGGAAGGCUCGUCCGCUCAGGGUUAGUCAGGACCUAAGCCGAGGCCGACAGGCGUAGGCGAUGGACAACAGGUUGAUAUUCCUGUACCACCUCUUUAUCGUUUGAGCAAUGGAGGGACGCAGAAGGAUAGAAGAAGCGUGCGAUUGGUUGUGCACGUCCAAGCAGUUAGGCUGAUAAGUAGGCAAAUCCGCUUAUCAUAAAGGCUGAGCUGUGAUGGGGAAGCUCCUUAUGGAGCGAAGUCUUUGAUUCCCCGCUGCCAAGAAAAGCUUCUAGCGAGAUAAAAGGUGCCUGUACCGCAAACCGACACAGGUAGGCGAGGAGAGAAUCCUAAGGUGUGCGAGAGAACUCUGGUUAAGGAACUCGGCAAAAUGACCCCGUAACUUCGGGAGAAGGGGUGCUUUCUUAACGGAAAGCCGCAGUGAAUAGGCCCAAGCGACUGUUUAGCAAAAACACAGCUCUCUGCGAAGCCGUAAGGCGAAGUAUAGGGGGUGACACCUGCCCGGUGCUGGAAGGUUAAGGAGAGGGGUUAGCGUAAGCGAAGCUCUGAACUGAAGCCCCAGUAAACGGCGGCCGUAACUAUAACGGUCCUAAGGUAGCGAAAUUCCUUGUCGGGUAAGUUCCGACCCGCACGAAAGGUGUAACGAUUUGGGCACUGUCUCAACCAGAGACUCGGUGAAAUUAUAGUACCUGUGAAGAUGCAGGUUACCCGCGACAGGACGGAAAGACCCCGUGGAGCUUUACUGUAGCCUGAUAUUGAAUUUUGGUACAGUUUGUACAGGAUAGGCGGGAGCCAUUGAAACCGGAGCGCUAGCUUCGGUGGAGGCGCUGGUGGGAUACCGCCCUGACUGUAUUGAAAUUCUAACCUACGGGUCUUAUCGACCCGGGAGACAGUGUCAGGUGGGCAGUUUGACUGGGGCGGUCGCCUCCUAAAGUGUAACGGAGGCGCCCAAAGGUUCCCUCAGAAUGGUUGGAAAUCAUUCGUAGAGUGCAAAGGCAUAAGGGAGCUUGACUGCGAGACCUACAAGUCGAGCAGGGACGAAAGUCGGGCUUAGUGAUCCGGUGGUUCCGCAUGGAAGGGCCAUCGCUCAACGGAUAAAAGCUACCCCGGGGAUAACAGGCUUAUCUCCCCCAAGAGUCCACAUCGACGGGGAGGUUUGGCACCUCGAUGUCGGCUCAUCGCAUCCUGGGGCUGUAGUCGGUCCCAAGGGUUGGGCUGUUCGCCCAUUAAAGCGGUACGCGAGCUGGGUUCAGAACGUCGUGAGACAGUUCGGUCCCUAUCCGUCGUGGGCGUAGGAAAUUUGAGAGGAGCUGUCCUUAGUACGAGAGGACCGGGAUGGACGCACCGCUGGUGUACCAGUUGUUCUGCCAAGGGCAUAGCUGGGUAGCUAUGUGCGGAAGGGAUAAGUGCUGAAAGCAUCUAAGCAUGAAGCCCCCCUCAAGAUGAGAUUUCCCAUAGCGUAAGCUAGUAAGAUCCCUGAAAGAUGAUCAGGUUGAUAGGUUCGAGGUGGAAGCAUGGUGACAUGUGGAGCUGACGAAUACUAAUAGAUCGAGGACUUAACCAUAUAA